rnacentral:rRNA from 1 species
AAUCAACGCCGGCGGCGUGCCUCAGACAUGCAAGUCGAACGAUUAAAGCUCCCUUCGGGGAGUGCAUAAAGUGGCGCACGGGUGAGUAACACGUAAGUAACCUACCCUCGAGUGGGGAAUAACGUCCGGAAACGGACGCUAAUACCGCAUAAUGCAGCGGCACCGCACUGUGACAUUUGUUAUCGAUUUAUCGCUUGAGGAGGAGCUUGCGGCAGAUUAGCUAGUUGGUAAGGUAAUGGCUUACCAAGGCCGCGAUCUGUAACCGGUCUAAGAGGAAGGUCGGUCACACUGACACUGAAUAACGGGUCAGACUCCUACGGGAGGCAGCAGUCGGGAAUUUUGGGCAAUGGGCGAAAGCCUGACCCAGCAACGCCGCGUGAAGGAUGAAGUAUUUCGGUAUGUAAACUUCGAAAGAAUGGGAAGAAUAAAUGACGGUACCAUUUAUAAGCUCCGGCUAACUACGUGCCAGCAGCCGCCGUAAGAC